UUGGAGGUGCAGUUUUUCUUAGAGCAGAGGACUGAAAAUCCUCGUGUCGGCGGUUCGAUUCCGUCCCGAGCCA
rnacentral:ncRNA from 17 species